UACAGAGGGGGCAAGCGUUGUUCGGAAUUACUGGGCGUAAAGGCGCGUAGGCGCCUUCUAAGUCGAACGUGAAAUCCCCGGGCUCAACCCGGGAACUGCGUCCGAUACUGGGAGGCUUGAAUCCGGGAGAGGGAUGUGGAAUUCCAGGUGUAGCGGUGAAAUGCGUAGAUAUCUGGAAGGAACACCGGUGGCGAAGGCGACAUCCUGGACCGGUAUUGACG
rnacentral:rRNA from 1 species